rnacentral:misc_RNA from 1 species
GAUGAAGAACGUAGCGAAAUGCGAUAAGUAAUGUGAAUUGCAGAAUUCAGUGAAUCAUCGAGUCUUUGAACGCACAUUGCGCCCCCUGGUAUUCCGGGGGGCAUGCCUGUCCGAGCGUCAUUGCCGCCCUCAAGCACGGCUUGUGUGUUGGGCCCCCGCCCCCCGGCUUCGGGGGGCGGGCCCGAAAGGCAGCGGCGGCACCGCGUCCGGUCCUCGAGCGUAUGGGGCUUCGUCACCCGCUCUGUAGGCCCGGCCGGCGCCCGCCGGCGACCCCAAUCAAUCUUUCCAGGUUGACCUCGGAUCAGGUAGGGAUACCCGCUGAACUUAAGCAUAUCAAUAAGCGAGGA